GUCUAUGGCCAUGCCACCCUGAGCAAGCCCGAUAUCUGAUCUUGGAAGCUAAGCAGGGUCAGGCCUAGAUAGUACUUGGAUGAGAGACCACAUAGGAAGACCAGAUGCUAUAGGCA
rnacentral:rRNA from 1 species